rnacentral:rRNA from 1 species
UUAAGUUAUUAAGGGCGCACGGUGGAUGCCUUGGCACUAGAAGCCGAUGAAGGACGUUACUAACGACGAUAUGCUUUGGGGAGCUGUAAGUAAGCUUUGAUCCAGAGAUUUCCGAAUGGGGAAACCCAGCAUGAGUUAUGUCAUGUUAUCGAUAUGUGAAUACAUAGCAUAUCAGAAGGCACACCCGGAGAACUGAAACAUCUUAGUACCCGGAGGAAGAGAAAGAAAAUUCGAUUCCCUUAGUAGCGGCGAGCGAAACGGGAAGAGCCCAAACCAACAAGCUUGCUUGUUGGGGUUGUAGGACACUCUAUACGGAGUUACAAAGGACGACAUUAGACGAAUCAUCUGGAAAGAUGAAUCAAAGAAGGUAAUAAUCCUGUAGUCGAAAAUGUUGUCUCUCUUGAGUGGAUCCUGAGUACGACGGAGCACGUGAAAUUCCGUUGGAAUCUGGGAGGACCAUCUCCUAAGGCUAAAUACUCUCUAGUGACCGAUAGUGAACCAGUACCGUGAGGGAAAGGUGAAAAGCACCCCGGAAGGGGAGUGAAAUAGAACCUGAAACCGUGUGCUUACAAGUAGUCAGAGCCCGUUAAUGGGUGAUGGCGUGCCUUUUGUAGAAUGAACCGGCGAGUUACGAUUUGAUGCAAGGUUAAGCAGUAAAUGUGGAGCCGUAGCGAAAGCGAGUCUGAAUAGGGCGUUUAGUAUUUGGUCGUAGACCCGAAACCAGGUGAUCUACCCUUGGUCAGGUUGAAGUUCAGGUAACACUGAAUGGAGGACCGAACCGACUUACGUUGAAAAGUGAGCGGAUGAACUGAGGGUAGCGGAGAAAUUCCAAUCGAACCUGGAGAUAGCUGGUUCUCUCCGAAAUAGCUUUAGGGCUAGCCUCAAGUGAUGAUUAUUGGAGGUAGAGCACUGUUUGGACGAGGGGCCCCUCUCGGGUUACCGAAUUCAGACAAACUCCGAAUGCCAAUUAAUUUAACUUGGGAGUCAGAACAUGGGUGAUAAGGUCCGUGUUCGAAAGGGAAACAGCCCAGACCACCAGCUAAGGUCCCAAAAUAUAUGUUAAGUGGAAAAGGAUGUGGCGUUGCCCAGACAACUAGGAUGUUGGCUUAGAAGCAGCCAUCAUUUAAAGAGUGCGUAAUAGCUCACUAGUCGAGUGACACUGCGCCGAAAAUGUACCGGGGCUAAACAUAUUACCGAAGCUGUGGAUUGUCCUUUGGACAAUGGUAGGAGAGCGUUCUAAGGGCGUUGAAGCAUGAUCGUAAGGACAUGUGGAGCGCUUAGAAGUGAGAAUGCCGGUGUGAGUAGCGAAAGACGGGUGAGAAUCCCGUCCACCGAUUGACUAAGGUUUCCAGAGGAAGGCUCGUCCGCUCUGGGUUAGUCGGGUCCUAAGCUGAGGCCGACAGGCGUAGGCGAUGGAUAACAGGUUGAUAUUCCUGUACCACCUAUAAUCGUUUUAAUCGAUGGGGGGACGCAGUAGGAUAGGCGAAGCGUGCGAUUGGAUUGCACGUCUAAGCAGUAAGGCUGAGUAUUAGGCAAAUCCGGUACUCAUUAAGGCUGAGCUGUGAUGGGGAGAAGACAUUGUGUCUUCGAGUCGUUGAUUUCACACUGCCGAGAAAAGCCUCUAGAUAGAAAAUAGGUGCCCGUACCGCAAACCGACACAGGUAGUCAAGAUGAGAAUUCUAAGGUGAGCGAGCGAACUCUCGUUAAGGAACUCGGCAAAAUGACCCCGUAACUUCGGGAGAAGGGGUGCUCUUUAGGGUUAACGCCCAGAAGAGCCGCAGUGAAUAGGCCCAAGCGACUGUUUAUCAAAAACACAGGUCUCUGCUAAACCGUAAGGUGAUGUAUAGGGGCUGACGCCUGCCCGGUGCUGGAAGGUUAAGAGGAGUGGUUAGCUUCUGCGAAGCUACGAAUCGAAGCCCCAGUAAACGGCGGCCGUAACUAUAACGGUCCUAAGGUAGCGAAAUUCCUUGUCGGGUAAGUUCCGACCCGCACGAAAGGCGUAACGAUUUGGGCACUGUCUCAACGAGAGACUCGGUGAAAUCAUAGUACCUGUGAAGAUGCAGGUUACCCGCGACAGGACGGAAAGACCCCGUGGAGCUUUACUGUAGCCUGAUAUUGAAAUUCGGCACAGCUUGUACAGGAUAGGUAGGAGCCUUUGAAACGUGAGCGCUAGCUUACGUGGAG